GGGGGAUCUGCGGUCGCAGUUGCAGUCCCUGGAAGGGGUCCUGGAGACCAGCCAACAAACCAUCAAGGUGCUGCUGGACGUCAUCCAGGACCUGGAGAAGAAGGAGGCCCAGCGCGACGGGCGACGCUCCUACCGGACGGGGCAGGACAUCGCCAACUGCGGGACCUGCCGAGACUGCGCCUGCAUCAUCUACAGCGUGGAGCACGAUUUCCGGCAGCAGGAAGGCCGUUUCCAGCGGGUGCUGAGCAGCAUCGAGAGCGAGUCCGGCCCGAGCUCCCCGACCGCGGCGCGAGCUGCCACGCCAAGCCGGCAGGAGCCGUCUCCGGUGCCAAAGCUGCCUACAAAAGUGGACUCCAAAAAAUCCAGGCGCAAGUGCUUCUGGUUCCUGUGAUGUAAGGCGCUGCCCGCGACGGGACGCAGACACGCACUGCCCGGCGGCGGGACGGGCCCCGCUGUCCCCGGGACUGUCCACUGCUGACACCACAAGCACUCUCUUCUCCUUGCUCUCCCUCUCUUCGAGGCCAGGGUUUGGGUAGCACCAGCUUUUCUAUUUCUAACUCUCUCGGGUUCCCUUACUGACACCCCUUGUGUAAAUAGGGGGGGCGGGCAAUGCUGUAUUUCAUGAGAAAUCA